AUUGAACGCUAGCGGCAGGCCUAACACAUGCACGUCGAGCGAGCGGCGGACGGGUGAGUAAUGUAUGGGGACUGCCCGAUAGAGGGGGAUAACUACUGGAAACGGUGGCUAAUACCGCAUACUAUCGGAUAACCCAUAUGGGAUUAGAUAGUAGGUGGGGUAAAGGCUCACCUAGGCGACGAUAGCUAGCUGAUCUGAGAGGAUGAUCAGCCAGACUGGGACUGAGACACGGCCAAGACUCCUACGGAGGCAGCAGUGGGGAAUAUUGCGCAAUGGGCGCAAGCCUGAUGCAGCGAUGCCGCGUGAAUGAAGAAGGCCUUAGGGUUGUAAAGUACUUUCAGCGGGGAGGCGUUACCCACAGAAGAAGCACCGGCUAACUCCGUGCCAGCCGCCGCGGUAAUAC
rnacentral:rRNA from 1 species